rnacentral:tRNA from 1 species
UAUUUUAUAGUCAAUUUUAAUGAUAUUAGACUGCAAUUCUAGGGGAAUAUGAAAAAUAUUAAAAUAU